rnacentral:misc_RNA from 1 species
AAAAGAGGUGGGUGUCUUUCCUUGAUUGCUUUAUUGCUGUUUGUUAGAGAGUCAAUGUCACAUUUAGGAAUGGGUAACAAAUCAAUAUUUUUAUUCAAAAUGGGCCAAAAAUUGAAUGGCUGAUAGCAAUAUCAAUUGAGGAAAAUCAGCAUUUAGAUUUCUGAAACUGUUGGAGCAAUAGGCGAAGCAAUCCCAUGAAUUUGAAGAAAGUGCUUAUGGAGAUACAGUUUAGACUUCACAACUAUCUUCAUGUUAGAUUUGUGAUUCAAAUCUUAGCAAGAUUUAGAUAGACUUUUUCCUAAUUUGACUGGAAGGAAUAUUUCAUAAUAGGAUAGAGCUAUGUUUUCUGUAUGGAUUAGAACGCCUAAGGUGGAGAAGGGCAUAAUCUAAGAGAAAUAGGCUAUUAUCUAUUAUAGUUGAAUACACACUUUAUGAUAAAGGGUGAUAUAGUAGUUAAAGUAGUAAAUAUAU